rnacentral:siRNA from 1 species
CGACGUAUCUCCUUAAGGUGUC